GAAGAAUAGCACCACUGAAGGAGCCCAACUGUGAUUCCGUUUUCAUGCAAAGAGUCAAAGUCAAAGUUAAAAAAAAAGGAACAAAAUCCCUUAACAUGAAGGUCUUGUAUCUCUCACCAGACUCCAACCAGCAGGACUGGAUAAUGAGAACUUCACACCAUGUUGUACCACACUGUCUGGAUGACCACAGCUUUGUAGUACAACCUGAAAUCUGGCGUUGUGAUGCCAAGGCGCAACGGAAUACACAAGGAUCCUCACCUCCCGAUCUCCUGAUUCUUCCAAAUACACAGAUCAUUGGAUGAAACAAAUUAGUAUUGACACCAAGUAAAGCUGACAAUAGCACUGAACUCACAACUCCCUUCCAGUGUAUUUCUUGUCUUCCCCAAUUUGUGGCUCAUCUAUUUACAACUUAAAGAGCUGCGAAGGAUAUUGAUGACAACACAAGGAGUGUGGAACAGAUGGACCAAGGGGCUCCAGCUCAACUCUGGAGAAUGAUUGUUGGAGUUAGCAGGCUGUAAAGCCACUGGCCCCAUCUGGAUUUAUGGGAACAGGAUGUGUAGCCUAACAGAGCUAGCUUCAGCCUCACUUAACCAUAGGCACCAAGAUCUUAGCUCCAUGUAUCAACUGAGUCUCCUGGAAGAUUUGGGAAAGAUG
rnacentral:lncRNA from 1 species